rfam:Gossypium arboreum cultivar AKA8401 contig_59063_1, whole genome shotgun sequence.
AGGGAUGUAGUGCAGCUUGGCAGUGCGUUUGUUUUGGGUACAACAUGUUACGGGUUCAAAUCUUGUUAUCCCUA